rnacentral:lncRNA from 1 species
AAAGACUUGAGUUACUUCCAACAGGGGUCUAUUCGUCAGUCAAAACGUUAAUCUUGAAGGAGCAAAGGUUUGUUCAUGAGCUGUCAUGCUCGCUAGGCGAAGCCCACGUGUUAUGCAAACAAACAAACAAACAAACAAACAAAAACGAAAAAAAAGAAAAAAAAACGAAAAACGAAAAAAAAUAUUAUAAAUAAAAAAUUUAAAUAAGUAAAUAAAAGAAAAAUCUUGGACUUGGACCUCUCUCAUUUGAGCCCACAGAGCCAUGAAAAUCAGGUUAUAAAAGAGGGAGAACAGACAGAAAAAAGAAGAGAAGCAAAACACUCUGAGGUUUCCUUGAAACAAAACCCUGAACAAAACCUGGAGAGAAA